rnacentral:rRNA from 1 species
CUUUCAACAAUGGAUCUCUUGGUUCCGGCAUCGAUGAAGAACGCCGCGAAAUGCGAUAAGUAAUG